CUGUACUGUAUAUCUCUAUUGAAUUGACUGCCGAAUUUCAUUAAUCUCUAUAUCUUGCUUGUACCUUAAAACAACAGUUUUUAAUGGAACACUGCAUGAGAAGCACACGCACAAUCCCAGACCAAUGGAGACCAAAAAGAUAGCCAGAUUUUUACAAUCACGAUCACAGUAUCCUUGUCUUGCUGUACCUGGUUUACUUGUAUUCGUCAUGACGCAGGAACAAAUCCCGAAUGUCUAUUUA